UACGUAGGGGGCUAGCGUUGUCCGGAAUCAUUGGGCGUAAAGCGCGUGUAGGCGGCUAGGUAAGUCUGCUCUGAAAGCCCGGGGCUCAACCCCGGGAGGCGGGUGGAUACUGUCUAGCUCGAGUCCGGAAGAGGAGUGUGGAAUUCCUGGUGUAGCGGUGAAAUGCGCAGAUAUCAGGAGGAACACCAAUGGCGAAGGCAGCACUCUGGGACGUGACUGACGCUGAGACGCGAAAGCGUGGGGAGCAAACAGG
rnacentral:rRNA from 1 species